rnacentral:rRNA from 1 species
GUGGGGAAUAUUGGACAAUGGGGGGAACCCUGAUCCAGCCAUGCCGCGUGUGUGAAGAAGGCCUUUUGGUUGUAAAGCACUUUAAGCGAGGAGGAGGCUACCGAGAUUAAUACUCUUGGAUAGUGGACGUUACUCGCAGAAUAAGCACCGGCUAACUCUGUGCCAGCAGCCGCGGUAAUACAGAGGGUGCAAGCGUUAAUCGGAUUUACUGGGCGUAAAGCGCGCGUAGGUGGCCAAUUAAGUCAAAUGUGAAAUCCCCGCGCUUAACUUGGGAAUUGCAUUCGAUACUGGUUGGCUAGAGUAUGGGAGAGGAUGGUAGAAUUCCAGGUGUAGCGGUGAAAUGCGUAGAGAUCUGGAGGAAUACCGAUGGCGAAGGCAGCCAUCUGGCCUAAUACUGACACUGAGGUGCGAAAGCAUGGGGAGCAAACAGGAUUAGAUACCCGAGUAGUCC